AGGUACCACUCGCACACACCGCUUUUUUGGCGCCGUCCACACCCAUCCGACGACUGUUCGCCACGUUUUUGUUAGCU
rnacentral:sRNA from 1 species